GCUCCAGCGGGCCGAGCGCGUGCGGCCGCCGAGCACAUGGGCCCGCGGGCCGGGCGGACUCCAGGCGGCCGGGACCCGGAGGACCAGCGAGGGGCCGCGAGCGAGGAUGGGCCCCGGCACGCGCCCGGAGCCCCCUGAGUGGAUUUCCACGCCGAAAGGCUGUUGGCGGCCCCGGUGACCUGCGGAGACGCGGUUGGAUCCACCUUCCAGCCUUGAUCUUUUGACCAGAAAGGAAUUAAAAAGAUGGUCCCUUGUGAUGGCUGCGCCUGUCAGCCGCGUGGAGCUUCCUUGAAGGAUUUUCUGAGCCAUGUGGAUGUACAGUGAUUCUCGGCGCCUGAGGAGUAACGCUGGUGGAAGCGCUCUCUCCAGUGACACACACCCGCCCCAUUUCUGGAUGCUAAAGGUGGUUUUAGGAAGGCCCUGGCUGAGUGCCUCGCGGAUUCCUGCAGCCUGGACGCCCCUGGUGGACGGAGGACUGAAGCUUCCUGCCCUUGCUGCCGACAAGGAGUGUUCGGCUGGGGCUCUGCCAGCUCCCUUGGGGGUUCCCUGUGAAACCAUCCUGUUCCACCUGGGAUUUAGGUGCCUUUAAUUUGAAAAAAAAAAAAUACGUAUCCAUUCAAUACUCCAGAGGGACUUGAAAACUGUUCUUCCCUGAACUAAAGCUGGAAUAUCAAGGGAUGUGAAGAAUCAAGAUGUGCAGACACAGCCAGAAGACAGCCUUCUGCAAACCAGGAACUGAGUCAGCUGCACCUUGAUCUUGGACUGCCGGCCUCCGGAACCGCCGGGCUGAGGUUUCAGAGGCGUUCCGAGCUCCUGUGGAGACUUGCUUCUCUCCAGCCUUGGGCUCUCUGCACUCUUGGACAUCUCAGGGCCCAGAAGAAAAAGAAGAAAGCCAACCAGUUCUGGGAGCAGCCUGGGUGAAGAGAGAUAAAGAAACAAAAGUUCAAGGAGGUGAGCAGGGCACUUAAGUACCAAAUGGAAGUUUUAUGCCAGAUCCCAGUUUCAACCACUGAAAGCCAGUUCCUUUCUCCAUCCUUAAUAUCUCUUCAUUUGAGCAUCAUCUCCCGGCAGGGUCACCGUAACUGUUCUCUCUUUGGUCCCUCUGCCUCCAUUUUGGACACUGCAGAUAUCAUGAAAAGAAGCCCACACUAGCCUACUGGAGGCCUCCUGGAGAGAAAGACCCAACCACCAGCCAACAGCAACCACCAGGUACCUGAGUGAGACCAUCCGGGACCAGCCAGCCCCCAGCUUUCCCAGUGCAGUGACUGCCACAUGUUGUUGGGAUUUUGGUCCAAGCCACAGAAGAAGACAGUGAAGCUAAGUGAUGCAGGAAGUAAACUCAUGACCUUAGAUUCGGGAAACUGGUGCACCAACCACUGAGAAACCAGAGAUGGAGGAUUUUUGCACAAGCAUGAGCAGAGUAUAAAUCAACAUCUCUGCCUUCAACAAAAUCUGCAUCCACACUAAAUGACAGAAGAUAAUUUGGUAGCAUCUAUAGAGUCUCAAGAAGAAAAGGAUGUGAUCCAGGAAUGUUCCAUAUUUGUUCCAGUGAACAUUCACGUAUGCAGUGAACAGGAUGAUAUCCCUGGAUAUGCAAAGGAGACAAAAUAUAUUAUCUGCAGUCCCUCCUUGAAAAACUUCUUCAAGACACAUUUGCAAACUGAGUAAUGAAACACAAGAGCUCAGAAUUAGAUGGUCACGAUAUAGAAGGACUCACAGUGAGCAGUGAUAACAAUUAAAGAAGAGAUAAACUUCUAUGUCACCAUUAUGGUUAUAAAAAGGAAUUAAAGCCUGAAAUUCAUUCAGGAUACAAAAUGCUUAUAAUAUAUAAAAUAAUAGUGUCAUAACUAUGAGCUGGAUCCCAAAACUUCAAAGAAUUAUUAAAAAAGACUGGGAAGUACAUGAGGCGGUGUGUGGAAAAGAAAAAUAAAGUGCUGAGCUCGUUGUCUUACAGAGGGCCUAUGAAUUUCAUCCUUGUAAUGUGUUUAUAGAUUUUAGUUUUCUUUAGGUGUACAUGUAUUUUCUAUUUUUUCUAACCCAGAUAAGUAUUUACUUGAUUAAUAAAGAAACAGUAGAAGCUAAAGAAGCUAACAAAAAAUAAAUAAAAUUCCCUGAGACGAAUUUGACCUGAAAUUUUGAAUAUCUACAUGGGCUCUAGUCUCAAAGGAGCCCUCUCUUUUAUUCAUGUCUUUGGAAAAAUGAUACAGAGAGAGGUUAGAGUGGAAGUGGAACCCUACUGUGGCUAAUGUCACUGACAAUGUUGAGAUCUGGCUGUCCCACGUUUUCCUGGGAUGAAGGGGGAAGGAGGAGAAGUGACAAGGGAUGAGCUCAAGCUUCUCCAUAGUCUUGCAAAGCUGUAAGGAUGUUUCAACCUCCGUGUGACCCAGGAACACUCCAUGGAGUUCAGGAUUCACUUAUAGUAGAAGAAUGAGGGUCUCACUAUUUUCUCUGGAGGAGAGCAGUGGGUGUAUGACCUCAGAAAUAUUAUUUUUACCUUUCUUGAUCUUUGCUUCCUCAUCUGGAAAGUGGGGGCAAUAGGUUUAUCUCAAAGGUCCCUUAGAGGAUUUCAACACAUUGGGUACAUAAAGCAUCUAAUGUAGCAAGAGAAAGUGUAGGUGUUUAAUUGAUGCAUACCUUUACCUUCCCAGCACUUCAAUAUUUCUGUCAACCUAAACUUUGAGGGAAAGAUGAGCAGUCUCAUUCCAGUCUUUGUAGGCUGGUGAUCUGGAGAGUUCUGAUGUGUCUCUGGGAAGGUUAGGAGGGGGCUACCAAGGAGAUGGAGGACAAGGUCAAGGUAGAGAGGCUAGGAUCUCACUCUGUGCCUUGCCCUGACGGCCACUGUAGUUGGCAGUUUCUUUCUCUUGACACAACUCCAAACUGCCUAUGAAACAUGUUCUGAGAGAAAUCCUUCCCCACUUACAUUUCCAAUGAGGAAGGUAUUGCUGUUGGAUUCAGUAACUAUCAUUCCUAAAUCUCUUUCUCUAGAAGGAAAAGUUGCUUGCAGUUAAUCCAUUUUGAACACAGAAUGGUGAGAAACUCAGGCUAUUUAUAGCUACCUAUUCUUUUGGUUGCAAAAGAUGAGCACUUCUUGGGAAGAUGGUACUUCCCUAAUUCAGGCUCUUGCAGCCUAGAAAGGGAAACUCCUUUGAUGAAUCAUUGACCAAGGCCAGGGCUUGGCCAACCUUGGUCUUUCAAAACCCAUUCUCUGGUACUGUAUUCUCUAGGAAGUCUUCCUGAAUCUCCCCCAUAGCUGGGUUAUUUAAUAUCAACUCCACCUUGUUCCCUGAUUGCUUCUACAUUCUCCUCUGCAUGGGAGAAACUAGCCUGGAAGCACUUUCCCUAGAAUUUUGCCGACAGGGGUUAGGAUUAGAUUCUGCUAAGGAGAGGCGCUGGUAUGGUGUUUUGAAGGCCGAGGAGAAGGAGAAGUUCUUAUUUGCUGCAGCAGCCGUCAAAGAGUAGGUGUCAGUACAUGUGGGAUGUUGCCAGAGGCUUCCUCGCACUCAUUUUCUUGAGAAUUCGCCACUUCAGCACUACUUCCUGGAUUGCAGGGGUAGCAGCUUCCUGGAUUCCAGCCCUUGAAGAUUUCCCUACUGACAUGACUCUAACCCAUCCCACAACUGUUCAAACUUUUAAUUCCCUGUAUUAAGUUCCUUUCUUCUUGAAAUACCCAGAAAGCCUCCCAUCUUCCAUUUCAAACUUAGAAACACCAGACCGAGUUAAGCACUCUGUUCUUGGCAGUUCUUUAGCACCUUUGACUGUUAUUGCCCAAAUCAACAGCUCGGAGGUUGAGUCCACGGACUGUGGAGUAAAGCAGAAACUUUCACAGCAUCUUCAGCUGCUGAGACAGGCCAAAGGCGUUUUAAAAAAAAAAAAA